GUCCACAGUCAAGCCCAAUGUCUGAUCUCAGACACUAAGCAGGGGCGGGCCUGGUUAGUACUUGGAUGGGAGACCACCUAGGAAGACCAAGUGCUGUAGGCA
rnacentral:rRNA from 1 species